GAGAACAUUCCAGAGAGAAGAGCAGAAAAAGCAGUAAAAGGGACACAGUAAACUGAUCUUUCAGCAUACGAGUAUGCUUUCUUGCAUCUAGGGAUACCCAAGUCACAGCAGUGAUGAAAAGAAGAAAAUGAUCCAAAGCACCGAAAGACAACUGAGUGACUUUUCUAUUCACAAAUUGAUAGACUGAGAAGAAGGAAGGAAUGAAAGAUCUGUCUUGUGAAAUUGAAGAGAGUUCAUAGCUGAAAGCAGAGGAAUCUGUGCUGUGGUCAUCCAGAAACUGCUUACAUGCAUUACAACUAAUGUAUGGUCUACACACCCAGUGAAAACGUGGAACACCAGAAUAUAAACUCUGCUUAUAAGGCUGAAUAGUCCCAUGUCUCCCAGCCUUUCCUCAUAUGGAAGAUAUUUCAGGCCUCUAAAAAAACUAAGGUAAGGAAAGAAUGGCUUUUGAGAUGGAAAAACAACAACAAAAAGAAAAGGAAAAGGAAAAGAAAAAGGAAAAGGAAAAGAAAAAGAAAAAGAAAAAGAAAAAGAAAAAGAAAAAGAAAAAGAAAAAGAAAAGAAAAGAAAAAGAAAAAGAAAAAGAAAAAGAAAAGAAAAAGAAAAAGAAAAAGAAAAAGAAAAGAAAAAGAAAAAGAAAAAGAAAAAGAAAAGAAAAAAAAACAGUCUUUCCCUCAUAAAGUAUUUCAGUUUCCAUAAAUGAAUAUACAUCAGAUGUGUGGAGGUGGGAGGUGGAGGAGGAAGAUUCUUUCAAAACCAUGCUUUAUCUUCCACAGCUUCCAAGGAACAGAUGCAGUAUUUAGUGAAAGGGCACCACAGGUGACCCCUCCUGCUGUGUCAGCCAAAGCAAGAGAAGCCUCUGUCUCUGUCAUGUCACCUGAUGAGUAGGAAGUAUGCAAGCUGAACUCCCAACAAGAUAGAUACUUUCUGUCCUGCUGCUUGUUUUAUGGAAUUUGCUCAUAUAAUUGCCUUUGGUACGCGACUGUUGGGAACUGGAGAAAAAAGGAUAAAGGGGAGUUAGAUGAAAGAAAACUAAUUCUUCAUUAUCCCCUCCUGGAAAACCUACAGCUGGGACCUUAGUCUAUUUGUAUUAAUGCUAACUUCAGUGUCAUGUUGUCUUUGAGCUCUCAUGUCUUAUAUUUUAAAAAUUUUGCUCACUGGAACAAAUAAGUUCAAGUAUACAAAUGUACUUCCCUCCUUUGCAAAUUAAACAUAUUUCUGGUAAUAAGGUGAAAGUUUAAGCAUUAACAUGAGUACUAACAUAAGAAAUAUUUUGCACAGAUAAAGUUACAGAUAUGCAUUCUAAUAUGUGAAAUUUCGUAAGGUAUAAAUCACAGAGAAAAAGUCAAAAUUCAUUUUGCUAAAUGUACUGAGACUGGAUGCCUGUACCUGAGCUAACCACUUUAAGCUCCCUAAUAGCCAAAGAAGAGCAACAGGCACUUCUAGGUCACAAUUUGUCAUUUACUAAAAAAGGCAUCUAAAGUAGGUCAGAUGAAUUGCUCCGAGAAUGGCUGUUAUUCUCUACCAACUAUAAAGGGAGAUCUGGUUGAUUAAUUCACAUUCAAUGUAGAUGUUUAAGGAAAAUAUGAUGAAUCUCAUUCAGUGAAUCCAGAAUGACUAUUAAAGGACCACAAAACAAAAUAAGAACACUUGUUUUCCUGAUAUGUAGAAACUGAGAAAGUUAGGCAGAAGUUAACACUGACUUUAGGUUCCAAACUAAUUUAGGAAUUUUGGAAUAUUUUAAUAUUGUUUAUUUCUGUGUAUUCCUAUUACAUACUACAAACUUCUUAACACUACAUUUUAAUCUUUUGAUCAUAUUUUCUUCCUUUAAGAACAAUGAAAACCUUCCCCAACCUUAGCAGACUUUUAUGAAUAUAAACCUAACAAAGCAAAGCAAUUCACCUUUUUGUCUAUUAAGAAAGUGCUGUACUACCAAUAGCUUGGGAAACAUAACAUUAAAGACUGAUCUGCUUACCGUCAUAACUUGAUUUCAGUGAAAGUGCUCUAUGAAGACUUUAUCAGAUGAACAGAAGAACUUCAAUCAAAAGUGUGUGUCUUGAAUCUUCACUUUUUGUGGAGAAAUAAUACUGUUCAAAUGUAAUUCUCUGUAGCUGUGACUGUUUCAAUACUGAAAAGAUUACUUCAUUAAAGAAACAAUAUGUUCAAAUGUGAAAAUGAAAAGAUAAUGGAAGAAGAC
ensembl:lncRNA